GACGUCACCGGGGCGGCCGCCGGGAGGCCGCGCCCCGGGACCCCCUGGGACUCAUCGGGAACCCCCCGGGAUCCUCUCGGAAACUCCCGGGAGCCCCGGAACCCCCCCGGCCCCGCCGGUGGCAGCUCCGGGCGGAGCCCCCGGGCACGGCGGGGCCCCGCGCCGCUCCAGGGACCCCCGCGAUGCGCAGCGGAGCAUCCCGGGAGAGCCGCGGGAAUGCCCCGGCAGGGCAGCUGGGAUGGAGCUCUCUGCUAGAAAGGCUGAAUGCUUGGAGUCAGCCACAGAGAAUUCCCUGCUGUCACAUCGUCCCUUGCUUUGGAGCCCAGCUCAGUAAUUCCUGUAGCACACCCUUCCCAUCCCAGUGAAUUGCUCCAGGUGUCAACUGAGCCAAGUCAGGAUCAGCUGCAGUUAUUCCAGAGUACGUGUCCACGUGCAGAAUAUUCCGGAACAGCAGCAGCAGUGGCAAGCACUGAGAUCAAGCAGGAUGGAGUGGCCUGGCCAAGCCAUAGCCCCGCUGGCAGGAGCUGCAGUGUGGACAGCAGAGGGAACAGCUUGGUCGUGAAGGUGCUGUUCUCCUGAAAGAGGAUCCUGGCAAAAACAUGGCUUGGUGCAGGGGAUGACACACUGAAGGCGAGACAGCGGCAGACACUUGAGCGGAGACUCCUUGUGUUUACAGCCUGGUCAUACGAGCUACUGAGACCCAAAAUCUCCCUGACAUCCUCUCUGGAUGCUUGGCCUUGGAACAACCUCAUUCGUGCCACACCUGCUCCCUUCCACUCGUGGAGCCUUCUAUGCUGCACAGGACACUGGAAAAGCACUUGGAGAUGGCUGGAGAAGGAGGGGACUUCCCGGAAAACAGUCUCUAAACCAGCCCUUCCCUGUGCCGUGGCUUUUCUGGGGCUCAUUAAUAUCAGUGGUAUGUGCUUAUAUCUCAAUUCUCCAGGAUUAAUUCAAAAUCCACAGACACUGACAUGCCUAGGGGCUUUUCAAUUAUGUCACUCGGCUUUGGCUAAGGCCCUUACAUUUGCA